rnacentral:rRNA from 1 species
AGCAGCCGCGGUAAUUCCAGCUCCAAUAGCGUAUAUUAAAGUUGUUGCAGUUAAAAAGCUCGUAGUUGAAUUUCGGGAUUGACGUGACGGUCGUGCCUUAAGGGGUAUGAACUGUCGCAGUUGAUUUCUCACCUUCUGGAGAAGCUUGAUGUCCUUAAUUGGGUGUCAUGUGGAACCAGGACCUUUACCUUGAAAAAAUUGAGUGUUUAAAGCAGGCAUUUUGCUCGAAUACAUUAGCAUGGAAUAAUAGAAUAGGACGGCAUGGUUCUAUUUUGUUGGUUUCUAGGAUCACCGUAAUGAUUAAUAGGGAUAGUUGGGGGCAUUAGUAUUCAAUUGUCAGAGGUGAAAUUCUUGGAUUUAUUGAAGACUAACUACUGCGAAAGCAAUUUUGCCAAGGGUGUUUUCAUUAAUCAAGAACGAAGUUAGGGAUCGAAGACGAUCAGAUACCGUCGUAGUCUUAACCAUAAACUAUGCCGACUAGGGAUCGGAUGAUGUUAAUUUUUANGUACU